rnacentral:tRNA from 1 species
GGCCGGGUGGCGCAAUGGUAGCGCGUUGGUUUUCGGUUCCUUAGCUAGGUAAAGCCUACCAAAGGUUUGCGGGUUCGAGUCCCGUCUCGGUCG